rnacentral:ncRNA from 2 species
AAUUCCAUAAACCUAUUGAGUGCAUCAGCGUUGACCGCACAACACUGGUGAAAAGGGAAUCAGGUGAGAAUCCUGAGCGAUCCGGUCACUGUAUUUGGGGAGCAAUGUCAGCAAAAUCCAUUGUACGAAAGUAUGAGAAGGAGAGGCAAAGCGGAGAACCAUAAGUCAGGAAACCUGCUUAAUAGCAGUAAGGUGA